ACCCUUUUUCUCUUCUGUUUUCAUCUCCCGUCGAACCCACUCCCACCGAAUCCUUCACGCCUCCUAUUUCUUCCUCCUUUCCCCACCGAACGCAUCUCCCACCUCUGCUUUCCCUCUCUCCUUCCCUCUCUCUCGGCUCUCUCACUCCAUCCUCCCUCUCUCACCGUCAAUCCUCACCACCGCCGCCGCCACCCCUGCUGCCGCUGCCGAUCGCUACUGUGCUCCGACUCCACCCCAUGCGCUGGUGGCAAAAUCGCUCUACUCUGCUUCAAAGGUAGACUCAUGGAGCCGCCAGAAAUGAGAAGUUAGACGAGUGGAGGAGGGCACAUCUUGGGAAGAGGUUGAGGGUUGUCAUCCCAUCGAGAUAUAUUCUACCAUUUGAGCGCCACAUCAGGGAUCCAUACAUGGUGAGAUUGGCAUUAUUGUCUGAAUGUACACUCUCUUGAUGAUGUUCGACUGGUAGAGAAUUACGAAGCCACAGAAGUAGAUCCUUCUCGAUCAUUUAUAGCAUGACUUUGAUAUCGAGGAGAUUGAUACACAGUGCGUGCAGGAGGCUAUCGUUAGGCAUAUGGGGAGGUUGCUUAAGGAGUUUAGAUAUGAGCUCCAUAGCCACUGGAAGGAGGUCUUCAAUGCACGUGGGGCGGCAGCGGUACGUGAGACACCCCACAAGAAUAUUUCAUGCCUUGAUUGGGAUUUGCUCUGCAACAAGUACGAGGAUCCUGCAUAUCGAGUAUAACUAUUAUAUAUAAUAAAAAUAUGAAUUAUUAAAUUGAUGUGGUAUCGUAAUAUGUUCACUCCUUUCUUGAAUGUAUUUACUUAUUAGGUCUUUUGUGAAAAGAAUACAAAGAACCGAUCGAGACUUAUGAUGAUGCAUUAUGGCAGAUCAAAGUCAUUUGCGCAGCUCAGUAUGGGCUGAUAAAUGUAUAUACAUACAUUUCUAAUGAUUUUUUAGAA